rnacentral:rRNA from 1 species
GGAAUAUUGCGCAAUGAGCGAAAGCUUGACGCAGCGACACCGCGUGUGGGAUGACGGAUCUAGGUUUGUAAACCACUUUCAGGAGGGAAGAAAAUGACGGUACCUCCACAAGAAGCCCCGGCCAACUACGUGCCAGCAGCCGCGGUAAUACGUAGGGGGCGAGCGUUGUCCGGAUUUAUUGGGCGUAAAGAGCUCGUAGGCGGUUCAACAAGUCGGUCGUGAAAGUUCAGGGCUCAACCCUGAAAUGUCGAUCGAUACUGUUGUGACUAGGAUACGGUAGAGGUGAGUGGAAUUCCGAGUGUAGCGGUGAAAUGCGUAGAUAUUCGGAGGAACACCAAUUGCGAAGGCAGCUCACUGGGCCGCUAUCGACGCUGAGGAGCGAAAGCUAGGGGAGCAAACAGGAUUAGAUACCCCCGUUAGUC